UAAUUUCUGUUGGGAAACCCCGAUUAGUUUGCUAGUUGCACCAGUUUAGACUCGUAGCAUAUAGCUCAGUAACACGUGGCCAAACUACCCUACAGACCGCGAUAACCUCGGGAAACUGAGGCCAAUAGCGGAUAUAACUCUCAUGCUGGAGUGCCGAGAGUUAGAAACGUUCCGGCGCUGUAGGAUGUGGCUGCGGCCGAUUAGGUAGAUGGUGGGGUAACGGCCCACCAUGCCGAUAAUCGGUACAGGUUGUGAGAGCAAGAGCCUGGAGACGGUAUCUGAGACAAGAUACCGGGCCCUACGGGGCGCAGCAGGCGCGACACCUUUACACUGCACGACAUGUGCGAUAGGGGGACUCCGAGUGUGAGGGCAUAUAGCCCUCGGCUUUUCUGAACCGUAACGUGGUUCAGGAACAAGGACUGGGCAAGACCGGUGCCAGCCGCCGCGGUAAUACCGGCAGUCCAAGUGAUGGCCGAUAUUAUUGGGCCUAAAGCGUCCGUAGCUUGCUGUGUAAGUCCAUUCGGAAAUCGACCAGCUCAACUGGUCGGCGUCCGGUGCAAACUACACAGCUUGGGUCCGAAACACUCAACGGGUACGUCCGGGGUAGGAUUGAAAUCCUGUAAUCCUGAUACGGACCACCAAUGGGGAAACCACGUUAAUAAACCGAGACCCCACAGUGACGGACGAAAGCCAGGGUCUCGAACCGGAUUAGAUACCCGGGUAGUCCUGGCUGUAACCAAUGCUCGCUAGGUAUCUCACGCGCCAUGAGCACGUGAUAAACCAUAGUGAAAACGAUAAGCGAACCGCCUGGCAAGUACGUCCGCAAGCAUUAAGCUUUAAACUUUAACGGGGUUUUCCGAUCA
rnacentral:rRNA from 1 species